GUCGGGAAUUUUGGGCAAUGGGCGCAAGCCUGACCCAGCAACGCCGCGUGAAGGAUGAAAUCCCUCGGGAUGUAAACUUCGCAAGAACAGGAAGAAUAAGUGGGGGACAAUACCCCCCAUGAUGACGGUACUGUUUGUAAGCUCCGGCUAACUCCGUGCCAGCAGCCGCGGUAAUACGGGGGGAGCAAGCGUUGUUCGGAUUUACUGGGCGUAAAGGGCGCGUAGGCGGUCGUGACAAGUCACUUGUGAAAUCUCCGGGCUUAACUCGGAAAGGUCAAGUGAUACUGUCGGACUAGAGUGCAGAAGGGGCAACUGGAAUUCUCGGUGUAGCGGUGAAAUGCGUAGAUAUCGAGAGGAACACCUGCGGCGAAGGCGGGUUGCUGGGCUGACACUGACGCUGAGGCGCGAAAGCCAGGGGAGCGAACGGGAUUAGAAACCCUUGUAGUCC
rnacentral:rRNA from 1 species